GGGGUGGAGCAGUCUGGCAGCUCGUCGGGCUCAUAACCCGAAGGUCGUAGGUUCAAAUCC
rnacentral:tRNA from 1 species